rnacentral:lncRNA from 1 species
AUAUUCACUACUGGUAAGUAUGGUAUGAAGCUCUCACUGAUGCCGAGUAGUCGCACAAGCAUCCGACCUUUACGGAUGGUCCACACGAAGCACCUCAGACCAAUCAGCCCUCUGCGGGGUGCUAGCUCGCACAGUCGGCUUCUGAUGGCAGAUCUGACUUGAUCUCUUUCUUUGAUCACCUUGAACCUUUUCAAUAUCGAAGAU